rnacentral:rRNA from 1 species
GACGAACGCUGGCGGCGUGCCUAAUACAUGCAAGUUGAGCGCUGAAGGUUGGUACUUGUACCGACUGGAUGAGCAGCGAACGGGUGAGUAACGCGUGGGGAAUCUGCCUUUGAGCGGGGGACAACAUUUGGAAACGAAUGCUAAUACCGCAUAAAAACUUUAAACACAAGUUUUAAGUUUGAAAGAUGCAAUUGCAUCACUCAAAGAUGAUCCCGCGUUGUAUUAGCUAGUUGGUGAGGUAAAGGCUCAACAAUGCGAUGAUACAUAGCCGACCUGAGAGGGAGAUCGGCGACCUAGAGACUGAAACACCAACCAAACUCCUGCGACACGUCACAGUAGGGAAACCACGGCAAUGGACGAAAGUCUGAGCAGGAAACGGCAUGUGAGUGAAGGAGGUCUUCGGGUCGUGGAACUCUGUUGGUAGAGAAGAACGUUGGUGAGUGUGGAAAGAUCAACAAGUGACGGAAAAUACCCAGAAAGAGACGGCUAACUACGUG